rnacentral:lncRNA from 1 species
AAUAGAAUCUUUAAACCUCCAACAACAUAGCAGUAUCAAAAAUGGAGUAAACAUUAUUACAAACCCAAAUAAAUAUAAGUCUUAAUUAAGCAAAUAAGAGUAAGUUGUUUCUCGUUUUAUUCUAACUCCUUGAUAAUGAGACCAUAUUAAAGCCACUUAAGGGAUUAUGACUUCGAAGCUAUUCAAAUAGUCAGAACCCAAGUGUUACGUUCAUCCUUCCUUUCAAGAUUAAUUCAUGAUUUUCUUACUAGUUAGUGAGCAAACAAUUAGCCAAAUAAUAUUUCCUAUGCUUGUGAACAUUAUACAAACUAGAGAAUCACAUGGAUGAAAAUUGUAUAAAAAUGCAACAAUUCUAUAUUAAUCAUAUUAAAGAAAUUUAAAGCAAAAGAAAGCUAAUCAACGAUUAUAUUAGAAUGUCACCAACUUCCAUGAAACGAUAUAGCUACAAAUCUCAGCAAAAGGAUAAUAACAAUACGUGAAGGAAAUAUUCAAGUAAACUUCAACGUGUGACAGAUUAUUACAAGAACUUUUAGUGAAGUAAAAUCAAUUCUUUUCUUAAUAGAGACUGUUGCAACUACACUAAAAAUUAACAGGUAUGAACUUAAAACUACAUUUUUCUACUUCUUUCGUCGUAUACUACAAUAACUCAAAUCAUUCAUAUAUUAUAAUCAAUAAGAAUGGAUCACUGAGUUCAAUAAUCUAAAAUAACGGGUGGAACUCUAGCCCGGGAAGUCAAACAUUUAUUCACUCAUCUUGUCAACAGAAAUCACACAAGGUAAUGACACAGCUAUAGCACAUCAACACCUUCAUGUCUUCAUUCCAAGCCAAAUCAAAUUACAUUAAGAAAGAAAAAUCAGAAAAGUACCUAGAUGAAGAAACUGGAAGCAGUGAGGAAACAUGCUUGAAAAGGAAAAAUGGACAGCAAUCCCAGCAAGAACGAACAUCAAUUCAAUAGCCCGAAACCUCGACAAUUACCCAGGAAUAAACUAGCCACAUUUGAAUAGACAAGAAACUCAAAAGAAAACCAAAGAACCUUGAAAGACUCUCAGCUUUUUAGAGGACUUUUGCUCUCCGGAAACUCCUUCAAGUUCUCAAGUUUUUGUGUUAUGAUCAAGUGUGUAAAAGAUGUUCUGAAUAUGUGUUAAGAGUGUUCCAGAAUGUGUAAAAAGUCCUCCUAGAUGAGGAAAGAACUCCUCUUUAUAUAGGAGGAGAAAGGACUUUGGGACAUAUUUUAUUUUGCCCAAAAUCUGUCCAAAAUGAUGUAUUGUUGACCAAAAAUCUGUUCAAAACUAGAAUUUUGGUCAAUGAACAAUUUUUCUUAUCAAUUGCAGACAGAAUUUUGGAGUAUUAUACUCCAAAACAGUCUGCAACAGUUAAAGCAACCAAACAAAGGACCCUACACUCAAGUAUUCUCUUUUCUUUCCCUUUCCUCUUAACUUCUCAAACCAGAUUCUAUGUUUAAACCAAACACAUGACACAUAUUACUCAAAUCUUACUAAAAUACACUCAUAACUGUUGAAGUGAUAAUAUGCUAAGUAUUUCAACACAGACUAUCAUCAAUCAUUCAACCUAUAGAUUAUCACUUCAUUAGAACGAAUGAACUCAUGACUUGAAAAGAUCAAUGACUUAACUAAACAAACUAACCAUACUUCCGAAUGAAUCAAGAUCAUUGAUGCCUUUGAAAGAUGAUCAAUUAACUCAAAUAAACAAGCUAACUGAACUUCAUAUAACCUAUAUCAAUCAAUUAACAAAAGAACUAACAAACAGAACUAGAAGCUAAUCAAUCUAACUGUCAAACGAUGGUCUUCAACUAACAUGAAACAACCCAACUAUCAACUGCUAAUCCCCAAACCAAAACACGAUUUGAAUCUAGCAAAUAUCAUCUAGUUAAACAUGAAAAGAUAAAACGAGGUAAACUAACCGAACUGAUCAUGCUUCCCAGGAUAUGACAAUCAAAACGGAUAACACGACUAAUACAAACAAGACUAAACGAGUGCAUAUUAACCAAAAGACUUAAACUUUGAAACAAAAUGUAUAAUUCAAAAUAAUAUACAUGAGUCGAAACCAACACUUAAAACUACCUAUAAAUGAUAUAAAUGAUAUUGAAGCAAAACUAAAACUAAUUGAAAUUGAAUACUACCCAAUUACAUGAGAUUAAAUGAGAUGGAAACUAAAAUAUGAUCCUAGUCUUAAUAAACAGAACCAAAAAUCAGAAAAGAGCGAAAGGGAUAAAGGUUUUACCUCACGAGGAUAUCGAGGCCAACCCAAGCAGCGAGGAAGCACCGAGGGUGUCGGAUGGUGGAUGUCUGACAUUAAAAUGAGCGUUUCUUUCUACCACACGUUGAAUCCAAUGAGUUUCAAUGUCGUGCUAGAGAGAAACGAACGUAUUUGGGUCGGAAUAAGCUAAAACAAAAGGGGGCAGUGCGGUGGCGGUGGUUGCCGGAGUUUGGACUUUAAACUAACACAAAGAAAUAGAACCAAGCAAGACAUACACGUAUAUGGAAGUCUUAUGUGAAAAUGGGGCGUGGAACUUUAUCAAUUUGGAAAAGAGAGGCUAGGGUUUUUUUCGAAUUUUGGUAGAUUGGUGAGGAUUUGGAGGAUAUGAGGCUUGGAUUCAUGGAGAGGAGAUUGGGAGGAAGAAAUGUAAAAUUUUGGCGUGGUUUGGAGGUUGGUCACCGCCGGUGGAGAAUUCCGGCGGGCGGCGCUGGGGGCUUAGGUCAGUGAGAGAGGGUGAGAAGAGAGAGGAAGAAGAGGGGAAUUAAGGGGAAAUGGGGCCAAAUUUUGGGGAAUUAAGGGAUUAAAUACCUGGGUGGGAGAUAGAUAAGGG